AGACCUCUCUGGGAGCAGAGAAGCAACUGAUUCGUGACGAUUUUUCAGAUUUUUUUAAUUUUUAAGCACAAUGGAAGACCCGCUUUUAGUGUUAGAUGAUGAACAGCUUGUGGAUCAAAUAUCCAAUUAUCCAGAAAUUUAUGAUCCUAAACAUGAAUCCUACAAAUUGUACACUAAAAAAGAAACAGUAUGGUUAAAAAUUGCAAAAGAAGAAAGAAUAAAACUAGUACUGUAUGUAAAAAAAGAUGAAAAAACUUAAGAGACAACUAUUAUAAACAAAAAAGUAUACAAAAAAACCAAACCGAAGUCAAGGAAAUGGCUUAAGAAAAAGAAACCCAGUUUUGGAACUGUUAGGAUUUUUAGACGUAGUGGAACACGAAAGAAGAUUAUUGACGAAUGCUCAAGUUGAAAAAAGUAGGGAUUAAACUUCGCAUCAAAAUGAAUUACAUGAGGAAUCUCAUAGGUAGAUACCAGUUAGACGGCAAAGCCAAUGACACAUUUAUGGAUGUCACUGAAUCUGCAAUUGAUGUAAUAACUCCGGCUAAACGUACCGCAGAAACUGGUAGUACUUCAUCGACCUUAAUAGAGGUUUCUCCAAAAGAUUUACCUCAGAAAAGCGUAACAUCGCAAAUUCUCACUGCAAUAAAUAAAAAUAAUUUGGAACGAGAGGCAAUAAUGAGUCAACUAACUGUUCCUCCUGUACCUGCUGGCGAUGAAAUUGAUUUACUUUUCAAGACCUUCGCAAUUUCUGUGAAAAAAUUCUGUGAUUUCUGAUGCUGAAAUGGAGUUGCUACAAAACUCAGAAUCAUCUCCUCAUCCAUGCACAAACGACAAUCAAUGCAGAACACCUCUGCCAACUCCCUCACCUAAUACUUCUUCUACUGUUAAUAAUAACUGGGAACAGGGCCAUCAAAUUAUGUGCUCGAAUACUAAUAAUAGUCACCAUGAAGGUCAACUCAGUACAGCACGUUAUUGUGCAAAUUUUACCAUAAACAAUGAAAUUUGUUAGUUUUUCUCAUCUUGGAAUUUUCAUAAUUUGUUCUGGAUGCCAUUCCGAAUCGAAUGAGAUCAAAAUUAUAAUUUUCGGUGGACCAAGUCAAAUUUGAACGAAAUAGGAGUUGUGAAUCAGACAUAACAGUGAGUCAGUCAGGACAUGUUUUUUUGUUAUAUAUAUUUAGAUAGUCGCUUCAUGACGUGCAUAUGACAUUAAAAUCAAACCCAUUGGAAACUAAUUCUCUUAUUAAAACAAUAUUUACCCACCGAAAUAAUGUGUCCUUGUAGUCCAUGAGCAGCAUCUGCACAUUCUAUAACAGCUGAAAGUUGAGGAUACCCAACUCCCGUCUUCAUUCGUGUUGUACAAACUGAUCCCGGACCAAUUCCAACUUUAAUUAUAUCAGCUCCAGAUAAAAUCAAUUCUUCUACCAUUUCACCUGUUACCACAUUACCUGCCUUCAAUGAAAGUGGUUGUUAUUUUACGAAACAAAUAUGAAAUUGUGUGUCUUAAUGUACAGAGUGUUCUGGGUCUUGAAUAAAAAAAUUCGGGAGUGAGUAGUUCAUGUGAAAAUAAUGCUGAGUCAUGAAAAAAAAAUUCCUCACACCACCCCUCGUUUCUGAGUUAUAGGUCUUUAAAAUUGCGAAAUCAGAACUUAUGUUUAAGUAUAUUUUCUAAAUUACACAUUCGAACAUUAUGAAUUUUUAGUGGAUUAUCACGAAUAUCCAUAUAGUGUGUUUGACGGAAUAAAUAAUUCUACUAUCUAAAGGCCAUUAAAAAUUCAUAAUAUUCGAAUGUAACAUUUAGAAAAUAAACUUAACUUAUGAUUAGGUUAGGUUAGGUUAGGGAUCGUAUGACAGAAUUUUUUUAUGUCUCAGUAUUAUUUUCACGUUAUCUACUCACUCCCGAAUUUAUUGCAUCAAGUUCCGGAACAUCCUAUAUAAAAUAAUGCAUAAGUUAAUAUAAUCUAUAUAGGGUGUUUGGUAGAUCCUUGAACAAACGAAAAUGUACGGUAAGUGGUGACCAUAAAAAAUUUUUUAUAGGUUUAUUAGCUGCUUUCAUACCUUUUAGCCCUUGUAACAUUUUUAUAGCUAGACCCAAUUUUUUAUUAGCAUCUUAGAGGAUAGUUAUUACAGAUUAUUGUAAACAACUAAAUUAUGGAUCCCCAAAUCUAAAAAAAUUCCGAACCUACCCUUUUUGUUACAUUUAAAACAAAACAGUAAGUGAUGGAAGGCUUGAGAUUUUUUAAAAAGCGACAUAUAAUUAAUUCCUACAAGGAUGGUCCCAGAAUUACCUGGCCUAACAAAGGAAACACAAAAAUUUUGGAAAAAAGUGUAUUUAUUUUUCAACGUAAUCUCCUUUUAGCACCAUUCACUUUUCUCAGCGAUGUUCAAUAAGUUUGAUACCUUUUUUAUAAUAAGAAUCGUAAAGCCCUCAGAAUAUCCAUUAACUUCCGAUAUCACCUCUUCAUUGCUGGAAAAUCUUUGAUCACCGAGCUAUGAUAUAUGAAUAUAUAUGAUAUAUGAAAUAAUCACUAGUACUUUUAAAAAGAUAAUCCAUCGUACAGGGUGAAUAACAUGUGUUGUGUAAUGACGUCAACAACUUUUAAAAAAUGUUAACACAAAAUAAUCAGCGGACAACCCGAUUAAAGAAUUGAGGCAUUAAAAAUUUGAUGGAAUUGAAUUAUUUCAUAAAAAUAACAUCGGAAAUAUGGCGACUUUCUGCAAUAAUACACACAAGUCUAUUUUCUCUACAACUCAUGUUAAAGUGUCAUACGAUACUGCAGAAAUGUCUUCAGGUAUUGCAGCCUUCAAUCGAGUACAAGAAGUGUUUGAUUUUGUUUUAAUUUUAGUUUAAUUUUUAUUUAGAAAUUCAUUCUACUCUACGCCUCUGGCAGUCUCUCUUUUUUCGUUACUUGUCGUUUUUAUGUAGCGAUACGAGAACGAGUAUGUGUAUUAUAUAGACCGAAGUAAGAACGUUUUUGGUUCUAAUAAAAGAAGCUUUGCUUCCAGAAAAUAAAUGGGACUUUGUUUCAUUUAAAAUAAAUAGAAAAUUUAAAUACAAAAUAAAAUUAUACAGUUCACUUCAUUCAAUACAACAAGAAGUCUACCUGCACAAAUGUCCCUGUAGGUAGAAAAGUCUGCAGGCAAACCGUAAUAGACUGGAGAAUGUAAACGACAAUGAAUUCCAAGUGACCUGAUUUGAAGAAGUCUCUUUACGGUGUUAAAUAUGGGAAGCCUAUAGGUUAAUAGUGAUCGCCAUAAUGUGAGAUCUCGUGAUCAGAAAAAAUUUCUCUAGUGACUUUCAUAGAUGUAUUUCUUGUAUGGGCCGUUGAUCUAUUAAAAAACCAUAUUGCUGCCCUGUUGAUCCUCAAUGGUCUAUCCUACAAAAUGACAUCGCUCGGCAAUCACGACAAAUCAUGAAAUAGCUUACUUUUGAAUUGAAGCACUAUGAUUGUCGAUUGCUCAAACGAGGCUGGAUAGGUUUUUCUGCUAAUGUAGUUUUCGAAUAUUCUGCCGUUUUCUUAAACUUAUAAACUGUUCUUAUUAUGUUUGAAGAACUUAGAAAGAGAGGGAUUGGUUAUUGAAGUGACACACUACGCAAUGGAGACAGAAAUGAGAGAAAAUUUCAAGACAGUUAUAAACUAUCAUUUCUGUAAAUCCAUUGGUGUCUUUAAUAAUUGUAUUGGAGCUUGGUUUUUAGCAGCUUUUUUUUAUUCCUUGGUACCUCAAGAACCAUAAUUGUUCAUAGGCUGUCCUCUGUUAUAUCGCUUUCUAUUUUGUACAGAAGUGAACAAAACGAAUGAAAAGUGAAUCGUUAACAGAAAAGAAUGUUUAGGAACACUCAGUUGUUGCCUCACCUUUUCUGGAUAUUUUUUUUUCUCUAUUCAUGCGAUGUCUGGGUUUUGAUAUAACUCAUGGGAAUUUCUAUGCGAAUAUUUUUCUACAGAUUUCUUCGUUGCCAUGGUUCUCAUAAUUCUUACUUAUUGCCAUAUAGAAAUUUCAAAAAUUAAUGAUAUCCAUGUUUCAGAUAUAGCUAAAGCAUGUGCGCCAAUUGAAGAUGGCAUAUUAUACAGAGUGAAUUUAAUAUAUGGAAAGCCUCAAUUAUCUCGGAAACGGCUUGUGUACAAGAGUCUUGUGAUACGGCCGGAAUUAUGGUGGCAUUUACAUUGUUGCCAGAUAUUUCCUUUUUCUUCCGGAAAAAUAAUGAAGUUUGAAAUUCUUAUUAUUUUUCAUCUAAUGUUCUCUAAACCCACAUGCCAUAAUUUUGGAGUUAUGGCUACAUUUGCAUUAUUUACGCCGAAAUUAAAAUAAUACAUUUAGGUGGCUACGACUACUACAAUAACAAAUUUGACGUUUCAAUAUAUUAUUAUUGUUGAAGUUUAUUGAAAGUCACAAUUGAUCCUUUAUCUGGAAAAGAACGAAUUGAUAUUUUACUGAUAUUAGAAUAUGGCAAUAGGCGUGGAAGUUAACAAGAAACGUGUAAUAUCUUUAAUAAUUUAUAUCCUAACCGAAAUCUCAAACUAGAUCUACUGUUAGUAAAUUAGUAAAAAAAUUUAACGAAACUGGUUCAGUAGAAGAUUUAUCCAAAUCAGGGCGCAGAAAAACUGCAUCAAUUGAAAACAAAUAUUUAGAUGUUUAUGCCCUGCAAAGAACUUUGAUAUUUCGCAAACAUGCGUAAUGAAAAUUUCACGUGAUAAUAAAUUCCAUCCAUACAAAGUAACGAAUAUUCAAAUUAAACGAAUUUAUUCAUUAGUAGCCACUUUGGUGGAGAUACUGUAAAUGUAUCUAUUACUCCUAAAUUAUGGCAUUUAGAGAAUAUUACAUGAAAAAUAAUCAGUAUUUCUUAAUGAUUUAUAUGAACACAAAAGAUAUAGGGUGAUCCAUUUGAAAUAAAAAAGUUGAUUAUUUUUCCGGAAAAAGGAAAGAUCUGACAAUGUGGAUACCACCAUAAUACCGUCCGCAUCACAAGACUCUUGCGCAUAAACAUUUGUAAAAAUCGUAUGUUAUGUAAUGUAGAUUCAUAAGAAGAAGAGGUGAAGGUUGCAAGUUAUUUAACACUUCCUGGAAAACGUUCGAAGAACAUGAAGACUGAAAGGGGUUUUUCAAAUCCGUUAAACGACGAAAUUUUCAUACUACACCAGAUUACACGAGAAUUGGAAUAAUACAUUAUGGGUAAAUGUUUUGUUUUAUUGAUGGGAGUCGAUUUUGCAACAAUUCAUUUGACAGAAUAAAACCCAGCAAUUUAAUUCCACUCCCACUGUAUUUUUUGCUGAAAGUUAAGUAAUGGUUCAGGAUGGAAUGUGUUCGAAACAAGAGCAGAUUUACUAGUGAUAUAUGGUGUGUUGAAUGUCUAUGUAUAUAACGGGGACGUUCUGCAGGAUCCUGUCAUGUCAUUUGCUCUUAUAACAAAACAGACUUUUCACUCAUGCACUAUAAUUCUCAUCCUAAUAAACAUGGCUCGUUGUGUAAACAACGGUUACAUAAAUGUAAUGUAUUGAGCCCGUAAAUUUUCUAGACCUUAAUUCAUUGAGUGUGAUAUGUGAAGAGUCUCUGUAGUAGAUAAACGGUUGCAAUCGAGAUUUGGGAUAAUCCGCUUCGAUAAAUUAUAGAUAAUGUGAUUCUGAGCGUGGGAAAACGGUUCAGAGCGGUACAAAAAAAAUACGUGGACGACUCACAAGGUAUUGAGUAGAGCUGAAACUUUUAUCACUUGUCAAUUAUUGUUAUUUUCCUUCAACUUAAAUGUUGAUAAACGAGAAAUUAGUCACAAAGCAUCUAAUAUUAAUUGCAAUUGAUAAUGAAACUAUAGAAUGCUGUACUUUCUCUCAAAAUUAACAUAUCGUAAUGACAAAAAAAGAAAAUUUUCAAAAAAUAUGAGACAACAUUUGAAUUGCAAAUUUUCGUCUGUCAAAUAUUUACUCUAUAAGGUGUUCUACAUAAAAGCUUACUUCUCAUUCUUAUUGUUCACCUCUGUAUAUAACAAAAAACGAAUAACUGAGGACAGCACCUAAAAAAAUAUGUUCCUGAAGAAUGAAGUUACAUUCCAAAAAAAAAUGGCCUAAAUUCGCCAAAACAAAUAAGGGAAAAUUAACUACAAACUUCGUUGAGUUCAUUUCCUUAACUGUAAGGUUGGGGUUAGAUCCGACCCCAGUGAGUCGUCUGUUUUGUUUAUAACUCCCCACUACCCCUGAGAGCGCUCUGGUUCACAGCUACCCUACCGGCCAGUUGUCCCCAGAGCGCCGACGUGGCCUCGCAGUCUGGUGAGUGACCUUCAGCUACCCUCUCUACCCGAACACUACAUUAGCCGCGCUCGGGUUGGAUCCGAACUCACCUUACUAUUAAAGUCAGGGAUUUAACCCCAUAUUGAUGUUCAUAUUACAUCUACAAGAAAGUUUUCUUUUCUUAUAUCUUACUAAAAUAGCGCAUCAACUCCUCAAAACUCCUGACGAGAUAUACAACGAGUUUAUCCAACAGAAGGCUGAGUCAGAGGAUAUCGACAAUAUCGAUUCAGAAAACUUUUCAGAAACCGAGGAUGAUGUAUUAUCUAAUACUGAUGACGAGAAUGAUGCAUUUCAUUGUGCGGCAGUAGUAGUCGAGUUUGAUCAUUCUCAGUCAAAUGUAGAUAAUGAGAGAAAUUUUGAGCUAGGUAAAGAUUUAGAGACAAUAUGGACCAGUAAACUCGUCCAUUCAAAAUUGUCUGGGAUACCAGCGUCUAAUAUUAUUACUCAUCUCUCUGGUCCACGUGGGGAAGCAAGGGUCACUAGUGAAUUGGAAAUAUUUUAAUUAUUCAUAGAUUCGAAAAUUAUAGAAAAAAUUGUUUUGUACACAAAUCUUGAAAUCGGGAAAUUUAGGCAAAAGUACAAUACGAUCCAGUGGAUUCUUUCACCAACAGAGAGUUGAUGGGCCUUCUCUUCAUGAGUGGUGUCCUAAAAAAUUCUAUGCUAACCUAACCUAUGGAUCUCCGGUAUUCCGUUGCACUAUGUCCUUCAAAUGACGCUAUAAUUAUUUUAAACAAUUAGUAAGACAUGUUUCUUUUUUAGUUCCUACCUUUAGAAUCUCUAAAGCACUCAAGUUCCUAGUUGAUGACUGAAUCUAUUGAAUUUUAUAGAGAAUAUUUCUAUUAAGGUAUAUUUUUGUAAUCAAGUUCUUAUUUUUUUCCUAAGUACUUUAUAUUCUUACUUAUUAACUAUAAAAAUAAAAAACACUUUUCGUUGUAACAAA